CGUUCUACAGAUUGGAUCUGAGGUUUCUCAGCAUUGUCCAGGGUGAUUUAUGGUUGUCUUGGUCCUCCCCUUUGGUUGAUUAAAAAAAAAAAAAACGUAUGGGGUAUUCAUGCCUGUAUUAUACUGGUAAAGCCUGCCCUUGACUUAAGACACUGGCAGAAUAGUUGGAGAUGGAUUACAAUGCUACAGAUCAGUUUCAAUUCAGGACCAGUUUACAAAGAAGGAAAAGAAGGCAUGGUCCAUUUUCCUGGCUGUUUGUCUCCCACUCUAUCAUAUGAAUGGCAGUUCACUGAUGAUAGUUGUUGUCAAGCUCUGAGGGGAAGUCACCCUGAGCACUGUUGUCUGAGGCAGUAUGCGAGUGAAGACCGCUGGGAUUCUACUCUUACUUUCUCCACACUGGCAUUUCAGAUCUCUUUGGUCUAAAGUGUGGACUUCCACAGGUCAGGAACCUCCUUGACUGUUAUUUGAGAAUCGUUGGAGGCAAGAUAUAGAUAACCACCCCGGCGGGACUCUGGGGGUCCUCUGAUCUACCCCAGAGAGGAUGGCCACUGGGCCAUGGUGGGGGUCACCUCCUGGGGGAAAGGCUGUGGCCGGAGCCGGAUCAACAAGGCCGAGUCCCCAGCCAAGAUAGGAUCCCCGGGGGUCUUUACUGAUGUCAAGAUGUUCCUGCCCUGGAUCGAGACGAAACUCGGAAGGUUAUCUAACACGUUUUAGUCAGUCGUCGGGAUGUGGCACCGUGGCACUAGUCCAGGAUCAGAGGGCCGUUCAGAGUUUCAACUACCCACAAUCCUACAGCAACAACUCUGACUGCCACUGGGUCAUCUAUGCCCCCCAGGAUCAUGUUGUCAAGGUGACACAUGUUGACUUUUACCUCUUAGGCAGAGGGGGCUUUAAUAUUUAGUGUAUUGUCCUGUGCAAGGCCAUUGUGACCGAAGGGAUACCCCAGAUCUUUGACCGCUCCCAGUGGAAUCAUGAAUACGGUCUCUGGUGUGGAUGGGAUCAGUUUACCUGUACUGGAAAGAAUGUGUUACUCACUUUGAUGCAACAAUAACAACAAUAAUAACAGCAACACAUACUGCAAUACUGUUGCUGCACAUGUCACAUUGUUUGCUGAAAUUACAAUUAUUUAAAAGUUUACAGCUUA